CAAGAUGGCGGACCGUGGCGGCGUGGGUGAAGCCCCAGCUGUUGGAGCGUCUCCUGCAUCUGUCCCUGGCCUAAACCCGACGCUAGGCUGGAGGAAGCGACUGCGGGCCGGGCUGGCGGGGACUGGGGCCUCGUUGUGGUUCGUGGCGGGGCUGGGGCUGCUUUACGCUCUGAGGAUCCCUUUGAGGCUGUGUGAGAAUUUGGCAGCGGUGACUGUAUUUUUAAAUUCAUUGACACCCAAAUUCUAUGUGGCACUUACAGGGACCUCUUCAUUGAUAUCAGGACUAAUAUUUAUAUUUGAAUGGUGGUACUUCCAUAAGCAUGGCACAUCUUUUAUUGAGCAAGUAUCUGUAAGCCAUUUGCAACCACUGAUGGGAGGAACAGAGAGCAGCAUUUCAGAACCAGGUUCUCCUUCGAGGAACAGAGAAAAUGAAACCAGCAGACAGAAUUUGUCAGAUACACUUGGGUGACUGGUAAAGAGCCACUUACAUACUAUGACAUGAACCUGUCAGCUCAGGACCAUCAGACCUUUUUCACCUGUGACACAGAUUUUUUACGUCCUUCAGACACAGUUAUGCAGAAGGCUUGGAGGGAAAGAAAUCCUCCAGCUCGAAUCAAAGCAGCCUAUCAAGCUUUAGAAUUAAACAAUGAGGAGAGAUACCAAUGUACUGGUAUAUAUUAAAAGAAGAUUGGCAAUGUGUGCAAGAAAAUUAGGAAGAAUAAGAGAAGCAGUAAAAAUAAUGAGAGAUUUGAUGAAAGAAUUUCCUCCUCUUACCAUGUUGAACAUCCAUGAAAAUCUCUUAGAAUCACUUUUAGAAUUACAGGCCUAUGCAGAUGUUCAGGCAGUCCUAGCAAAAUAU
rnacentral:sRNA from 1 species